GGAAAAUAUAAAUCAAGAGAGAAGUCAAACAUGGGAAACACAAAAAGGAACGGAAUGUGGAAUUACGGCAUGACCAUAAUGAAGAGAGAUCCUGACCUGCUAUGGAAAUUAUAAGCCAUUCACUUAUAUUUCCCACUCAUUGAUUGUUGUCUGCUUUUUGAUACUAAGGCACGCCUAGUUUGGGAAUUGAUAAAGGCAUCCUCGGCCAAGCAGCUCCUGUCAGUUCUGUCAGUUGAUCAGUCUGCAGUACAGCUUUUACUUGGCCUUAAUUAAACAGCUUCUUCCUCCUGAUUGUAAUGAAGGCACUGAGGAACUGGCAAAGAAAUGUUCUCAAACAAAAGGGGUGGAUGUUUCUCGGCCAUUUUCCUCUCCCAUUCCGGCUGAUGAAACACCGGUACAAAAGAGGAUUCCUGUGCGAAGCUGACUCGUGCUACUUACAACCAGCUCCUCGCUGCCCUGAGGUCUUUGCCAUCUAUCCAAGAUGGAUAAAGAAACAACAGUUGGACACACGUACCCUGGUAUCUCAUUUUGGGGCCCGAUAUCUCAUUUUGCCAAAAACAUUGUGUAUUUUCCAGGAUAUUUGUUGAAGAAGUGUAAAGAAGAUUUUGCUGAAGAAGUGUAAACAAGAUCUUGUCUCAAGCAUUUUAACCUAUGAAGAUGACUAAUUCAUUAGAUAAAAAUGUGGAAGCACAGGGUAAUUAUUGUUAAUAUCAAAUGAAAGACACAAUAGUAUCAUUUUUGAGAAAGAAGUAAAACAAAAGCUAUUCACUGAAAUUUAGCAAUUGGCCUGGCACUCAAAGAAACAAUCUCAUACAAUAGUUACCUCAGGCAAAGUUGCUGAGGCAAAGAUAAACAGAAACAAGGCUGAGCCACUUUAAUACUUAUGCUUAAGCAGUGGGGAAAACGAGGUCCUUUUGUGAAUUAUCAGUAACAAAAUAUCUGUCAAUCCCUCUGUUGGCCAAAAUGAGUGACAGUUACUUCUUCAUUAAGGACACGUUUGUCAUUACUGGAGUCUGUC
rnacentral:lncRNA from 1 species